AGCCCUGUAGUGUACAACAUGUUAGAUUGCAAAUCUAAAGAUGCAGAUUAACGUCUGCCGGGGCUU
rnacentral:tRNA from 1 species